GUCCACGCCCUAAACGAUGAUUACUGGACAUUUGCGAUAUACAGUGAGUGUCUGAGCGAAAGCAUUAAGUAAUCCACCUGGGAAGUACGUCCGCAAGGAUGAAACUCAAAGGAAUUGACGGGGUCCGCACAAGCGGUGGAGUAUGUGGUUUAAUUCGAUGAUACGCGAGGAACCUUACCUGGGCUAGAAUGCGAGUGACCGUCUCUGAAAGGAGAUUUUCUAGCAAUAGACACAAAGCAAGGUGCUGCAUGGCUGUCGU
rnacentral:rRNA from 1 species